rnacentral:rRNA from 1 species
AUGCCACCACCGAGCAUGACCUCACCAGCAUCGCACUGGAGAUCGCAAUCUCCACCGUCUACAAUAACGAUAGGGUCAUCGCUGAGUUGGCCGACGAAAAAGAGGGCACACCGUAGGGGGAUGCGCUACUUGUUUGCCACAAUGCUUAUCUUGGCGCAGACAAUGACCUCAACCUACAAGCUCAUGUUGCCUUCGAGUAUGCGGACUAUGUCGGUGCCUCAAAGGUUGUGUCACUCGCGAAAGGCGCCGACGAUGCAUGUGAGAACGCGUUCAAGAGGAUCAACAAGAAGUCCCCCGUGGCCGGCAUAG